AGAUAAGGAGCGAUGGCCACAUUCUUCAGUCCCUGGGAGCAGCUCUGUGUUCUCUGCUGGAGCAGAUAUGGAAGAGUCCAAGAGUGCAGACGACCAUCAGCGUAUGCCAACAAGUCCUCUCCAGGCACCUGUGGAAAAGGCAAUACAGACAAAGCCUGAACGGGCAGAAGAAAUGACACCCGGCGAGUUCAAGGAGGUUGAGGAUGCUGAGAAGCCUCACCUGACCUGUUGUGGCCUUUGUCUGUUAUGCUGGAAAUCCCUACAGGCAAGUGAAGGAUGCCCAGAGAACAUCCUCCAGGGAACACACCCUCUCCAUAGCAGCCCGUGAGCCUGCUGGGCUGAGCCCUCCACAGGCUGCUCUAAUGAGGGAGAGGCUGAGGUGCUGGUCAGGCUACCAUGUGCAGGAUUCCAAGGCCAUGCACCGUGUUCUUGUCUGCAGUGCCACUGAACCUCAUUUGAGGGGACCCAGCUCUGCCCUCCCGGCCCUCCAAAGCCCACAGGGAGCAUCACCAGUUCAUCAUGAGCAGACAUUGGGGUUGACCAUGAACCCCCAUGUUUCAUGCCUCCUGGGAAAGCUGUGAGAGGGAGGGAGG